CAGCAGUAGCCACGGUAAUACAGAGGGUGCGAGCGUUAAUCGGAUUUACUGGGCGUAAAGCGUGCGUAGGCGGCUUCUUAAGUCGGAUGUGAAAUCCCUGAGCUUAACUUAGGAAUUGCAUUCGAUACUGGGAAGCUAGAGUAUGGGAGAGGAUGGUAGAAUUCCAGGUGUAGCGGUGAAAUGCGUAGAGAUCUGGAGGAAUACCGAUGGCGAAGGCAGCCAUCUGGCCUAAUACUGACGCUGAGGUACGAAAGCAUGGGGAGCAAACAGGAUUAGAUACCCCCGUAGUCCCUGUCUCUUAUAC
rnacentral:rRNA from 1 species